UACGGGGGGGGCAAGCGUUGUUCGGAAUUACUGGGCGUAAAGGGCUCGUAGGCGGCCAACUAAGUCGGACGUGAGAUCCCUCGGCUUAACCGGGGAACUGCGUCCGAUACUGGAUGGCUUGAGUUCGGGAGAGGGAUGCGGAAUUCCAGGUGUAGCGGUGAAAUGCGUAGAUAUCUGGAGGAACACCGGUGGCGAAGGCGGCAUCCUGGACCGAUACUGACGCUGAGGAGCGAAAGCCAGGGGAGCAAACGGG
rnacentral:rRNA from 1 species